UGUUCGUAGUUUAUUCGGAUCUCCUCUCCAAAUAUGGUUUUUGAGGUUAUCUACUCAGCUACUGAAAGAGGGAAUUUAGAAUGCAAGACUGCCUCAUCUUCAGGAUAACUACUCGAGCUAAUUAUCAAAAAUUAUGAUAUAUACAUUUUUGUCCAAACUUUGGAAACGUAAAUACACCCUAGAAUAGCACCGUUCAUGAUGGAGAAAGUAAUUCUUGGCCUUCUACAG
rnacentral:lncRNA from 1 species